rnacentral:rRNA from 1 species
CCUACGGGAGGCAGCAGUGGGGAAUAUUGCACAAUGGGGGAAACCCUGAUGCAGCAACGCCGCGUGAAGGAAGAAGGUCUUCGGAUCGUAAACUUCUAUCAGCAGGGAAGAAGGAAGUGACGGUACAUGACUAAGAAGCCCCGGCUAACUACGUGCCAGCAGCCGCGGUAAUACGCAGGGGGCAAGCGUUAUCCGGAAUCACUGGGGGUAAAGGGUGCGUAGGCGGUAGGGCAAGUCAGAUGUGAAAGCCCGGAGUUCAACCCCGGGAUUGCAUUUGAAACUGUCUUACUAGAGUGCAGGAGAGGAAAGCGGAAUUCCUAGUGUAGCGGUGAAAUGCGUAGAUAUUAGGAAGGACACCAGUGGCGAAGGCGGCUUUCUGGACUGUAACUGACGCUGGGGCCCGGAAGCGUGGGGAGCGAACAGGAUUAGAUACCCGAGUAGUC